rnacentral:rRNA from 1 species
CCUACGGGGGGCAGCAGUGGGGAAUAUUGUACAAUGGGCGCAAGCCUGAUGCAGCCAUGCCGCGUGUGUGAAGAAGGCCUUCGGGUUGUAAAGCACUUUCAGCGGGGAGGAAGGCGGUGAGGUUAAUAACCUCAUCGAUUGACGUUACCCGCAGAAGAAGCACCGGCUAACUCCGUGCCAGCAGCCGCGGUAAUACGGAGGGUGCAAGCGUUAAUCGGAAUUACUGGGCGUAAAGCGCACGCAGGCGGUCUGUCAAGUCGGAUGUGAAAUCCCCGGGCUCAACCUGGGAACUGCAUUCGAAACUGGCAGGCUAGAGUCUUGUAGAGGGGGGUAGAAUUCCAGGUGUAGCGGUGAAAUGCGUAGAGAUCAGGAGGAAUACCGGUGGCGAAGGCGGCCCCCUGGACAAAGACUGACGCUCAGGUGCGAAAGCGUGGGGAGCAAACAGGAUUAGAUACCCGAGUAGUC